rnacentral:rRNA from 1 species
CAGCAGCCGCGGGAAAACGGAGGGUGCAAGCGUUAUCCGGAUUUAUUGGGUUUAAAGGGUGCGUAGACGGCUCAUUAAGUCAGGGGUGAAAGACGGUAGCUUAACUAUCGCAGUGCCUUUGAUACUGAUGAGCUUGAAUGUAGUUGAGGUAGGCGGAAUGUGACAAGUAGCGGUGAAAUGCAUAGAUAUGUCACAGAACACCAAUUGCGAAGGCAGCUUACUAAAGUAUGAUUGACGCUGAGGCACGAAAGCGUGGGGAUCAAACAGGAUUAGAUACCCCUGUAGUCCCUGUCUCUUAUAA